GUCUACAGCCACGCCACCCUGAAUAUGCCCUAUCUCGUCUGAUCUCAGAAGCUAAGCAGGGUUGAGCCUGGUUAGUACUUGGAUGGGAGACUACCUAGGAAUACCACGUGCUAUAGGCA
rfam:Pteropus alecto contig19100, whole genome shotgun sequence.